AUCUACUUGCUGUCUCAUUGGCCAAACAGUAUUUUAUUUAACAAUCAAUAAGAUAAACAUACACAGAAGUACUUACCCCAUCAUUCUAAUGCUAGAAGCUGCUGUGCAGAUGUUGGGGACAAAAGUCAUCAAUGGUCUUCCCCAUCUGUCAACACUGUAUGCUUCAAUGCCAACCUUCCAGAUGUAAAUUCCUUACAGAACUCGAAUCCAUUUCUAAAACUGCUCUGUAGCCCUUAAAUGGCACUGCAUAUUUAAAAGACACUGUUUCCCUGGUGCCUUGUGUGGCAUGAGAACACUGGCACAGUUUGCAGGAGCAGCAUGUGUCCAGGCUUAUUCUCACAUCCUGGAUGAAGAGAGGGGACCUAGGAAAGGACCAAGGAAGAUGUCUUCUUAUUCCGCCUAGUUAGAGGAUAUAUGCCUGCUCAAGAAACAAACAAAUUGUCCCGAAGCACAGCAGGGCCUGGGUGACUGGAAGACUGGAAUUCCUCUGGGCUGGAGCUCCUCUGUGAUUCUACAGGACUGACCACUGCCAGUCCUAAGGUGAUGCAGGUACCCUGGAACUCACUGCUGCAAGAGGAGUGUGAGAUGGAGGGCAUGCUGAGUCCCCAGGCUGCCCCAAUUUGAUACUGUGAAGCCUAGCAUAUUGUGUUGAGAGAAAAGCAACCUGGCAAACUGGAAGAUACACAAGCACUAAGGAGACUGCCGAGCACUGGACACCUUGUCUUUUGAAAGUCAGGAGGAAGAGGUGAUAAUGACUCAACGUGGACAUACUGGGAAGAAAGAAGAAAUUUGGUGAAAUUCUGCAGGGCUGUCCUUGGGAUCCUGUCUGAAGAGAAGGCAAGAGAUGUGCAGAGCCAAACAGUAGUCCUCGGCAAGGCGUGGUCCCGGCCAUUGUCUAGGCUUCAGCCUCUUCUGCAAGGCAGCUCGACAAACCAUGAGAAACGGUGUGAAGCCUCUCUCCAGCAGACACGUUGCCUCCUUGGCGGCGAACCCUGCCUCAUACACUGGGCAUGGUAGUGUAUGCCUAUAAUCAACUAAAGAGGCUGAAGCAGGAAGAUCAAAAAGUAUUCCAGGCCAGCCUGUGGCUAGAUAGCCCAAGCCUGUCUCGAAUAUGGAG
rnacentral:lncRNA from 1 species